GAUUAACGCUGGCGGCGUGCAUGAAACAUGCAAGUCGAGCGCGGUUCAUGGUGGGGUAACCCAACAUGAUCUAGCGGCGAACGGGUGAGUAACACGUGAGCAACCUACCUCUGAGACCGGGAUAGCCCUGAGAAAUCAGGAUUAAUACCGGAUGUGGUCACGACGGGGCAUCCCGACGUGCCUAAAGGCGCAAGCCGCUCAAUGACGGGCUCGCGGCUUAUUAGCUUGUUGGUGGGGUAAUGGCCUACCAAGGCGAUGAUGAGUAGCUGGUCUGAGAGGACGAUCAGCCACACUGGGACUGAGACACGGCCCAGACUCCUACGGGAGGCAGCAGUUAGGAAUUUUCCGCAAUGGGCGAAAGCCUGACGGAGCAACGCCGCGUGGACGA
rnacentral:rRNA from 1 species